GGGUUCGAUCAUACCAGCGUUAAUGCACGGGAUCCCAUCAGAACUCCGCAGCUAAGCGCGCUUGGGCUAGAGUAGUACUGGGAUGGGUGACCUCCAGGAAGUCCUAGUGUUGCACCCUC
rnacentral:rRNA from 1 species